UACGGAGGAUCCGAGCGUUAUCCGGAUUUAUUUGGUUUAAAGGGUGCGCAGGCGGGAGAUUAAGUCGGCGGUGAAAUUUUGCAGCUCAACUGUAAAAGUGCCUUCGAAACUGGUUUCCUUGAGUGUAGAUGAAGUAGGCGGAAUUUGUGGUGUAGCGGUGAAAUGCAUAGAUAUCACGAGGAACUCCGAUUGCGCAGGCAGCUUACUAAACCAUAACUGACGCUCAGGCACGAAGGCGUGGGGAUCAAACAGGAUUAGAUACCCCUGUA
rnacentral:rRNA from 1 species